UACUCUUAGCAAGGCUUUUACAAUGAUAAAGAAUGCAAUAAAAUGUGAUACAUGAUGUGAAUUAUAGAAUUUUGUAAAUCAUUAAAAUUUUAAAUACAACUUGUGUUUUGAGGGAAUGUCUACUACCUCACAUACACUCUAUGAUCAAAUGGGC
rnacentral:rRNA from 1 species